rnacentral:rRNA from 1 species
UAAAGGGGUAUUACUGCACAUACUGCACAAGCUAAGCAGGUGUGAGCCUGGUCAGUACCUGGAUGGGAGACCUCCUGGGAAAAACUAAGGUUGCUGCUGAAA